UCUGGAUAAACAUCGUCCCUAAAAAAAUUCAGUAUAGAAUACAUUUUAGUAUUUUUGAUGGCAUCAGAUAUAAUUCUCACUGCUACUAAUAUUGUCUGCCAAUUAAGCACCACAUUUCAAGUCAUAGCUGAAGUUAUCGGGUGUCUGGUUGUUGUUGUUGUGUUUAUAUAGCUUCCUUAGCUUAAUAGAAAAUAAAUCCAUCAACACCCUAACCCAUUCAUGAUAGCAGUGCCCAAAAGAACUAAAGAGGCUGUCA